rnacentral:lncRNA from 1 species
CAAAUGUGUAAAGAUCUGCUUUUGUUUCCUACACUCACCCACUCCAAACAUUAACCUCAUACCAACCUCCCACUGUACACAAGGGCCACAGGAAGCCUGGACAAUGCAGAAGAGCUAAAGGAAGUGGAUAGGCUCUAGCUUGGGCCACAGGGUGGCCCCACAGCCUAUCCAGUGUACCCUGAGCAGCCAAUCACCAAGAAAAUGAAGGCACUGUUCCACGCAGUACGGACACAACAGUGAACAAAAUAGACAAACGCUCUGCUCUGGUAAAGCUUCAUUCAGUGAAGGAGAACAACGGUCAACAGAAGGUGGAAUCUCUGCUGUGCCGUGCGGUACAGAGGUAUGCACCAGCAUGGACCAGCUAAACACUCCGUUUCCAAUGGUAGCAACUUCUCUGAGUGGUUCUGUAAUGGACUGAAGCUGGAAUGUGCCCAAAGGCUCCCAUGUUGAAGGCUUGGUCCCCCUGUCCCAAGUGCUGCAGAGACCAUGAGGAUACUCAGCUCAUCAAUAGGUGAAGCUAUUGAUGAGUUCCCAGUUGACUGGCCUGGUUGAAAGGAGUGAGUCAUUGCUCUGUGCCUGGGAAGAAUGUCUCUCUCCCCUCUUCCCUUCCCUCUUUCUGACUCUUGGCCACCACAAGGUAACUAAUGAGCUUCCUCAGACUCAGAGAAGCAAGGAAAACAGCCCUCUGUGUACUGAGACCUCUGAAACCAUGGGCAUUCUCCUCUAAGCUUGGAAAGCUAUUUUGUCACAGCUACAAAAUAGUGGCCAACACACUGAGCUAAGAGAACCUCAUAGUUGCAGAGUUGUUAGCUAGGGUUGCUGUCGGAAGCCACCACGUGACUGCUGGAAAUCUAACCUGCAUUCUCAAAGAGCAUCCGACGCUAUUAACUGCUGAGUCAUCUCUCCAGCCCCACAGUGCUGCUCUUCUAAGUGUAAUGUCUCCAUUGGGCACACGCACCAGACAGAAUCUUUCUUACCCUUCCACACCAAGGGAAAAAGUGUCUCCUUUCAGAGGUCCCGGCAUAGCUGCCGAUGUGGUGAUUAUACAACGCAUCACCUACUUCAUGUCACUGUAAAUGUGUAUGUUUAUUGAAACAAUUUUCAGCUCAUGACCAAAAUCCCUUUAGUUCAGUCCAAUUCAGAACUCUGAUACGAAACAGUGAUAUGUGAAACAGAUACGUCUCAACUAGAGCCCUGCCUCAGUAGCCCCACGAUUCACCUUAUCCAACUCCCUUGUCAGUCCUGAGCCUCAAGGUGGGAGACACCCACACCCACACCCACACCCACACCCACAUGGGCCUGCAGCCCAAAUCUGCCAGUUCACUAUGUUUCAAGUUGCAUGGAGCAUCCCCACAGCUGCCAACACUGAUAUCUGCGAGUUCUACUUCUAAUCAGGUCAGAAUUCCAUGGCUGCUUGCUGGGCACGUGUCCUGGGUGGUGGCUGCACCAUGCCCUCUUCAGAGGGGCUGUGAUCUGCCAACUUAAGGAGGAUCCAGAGUGAGGAUUUUGGAAUUGGGAAGAUCAUGGCACCCAUGUUGUGAGAUCAUGCAUCUAACUGAAAAAGGCUGAGGUCUAGGAGGAUGGCGUCUUUUCUUUACUUGUGGGAGUUGUAGCGUGUUUCAGUAGGUCUCUGAAUCUCAGAGCAGGUUUCCCUCAGUAGCUGUCCUUCAGUACUGGCAACAAGUGAGAAAGUUAUACAUAUUGUGUAUCCUUCCAUAUAAGCAGAGUCCUCCAUAUCCAUAGGUACUGUGUCCAGAGUCAACAAACUUGAUUGACAAUAUUUUUAAAGAACGUUUUAAAAAGUAUUGAACACACAGAGCUUUUUAUUGUCAUUAUUCAUCAACCACACAGAAGAAUAACAUUUACAUAAUCUUCACUUUGUCAUAUUUAUAAUCUAGACAUGAUAUAAAGUAGAUAGAGGACCAGGUUAGAGUCCUUUGCUCUGCUCAGCUGAUAUGAAGCCUUGGCUGUUCUGUUAUGCUAGAUGGGGCAAGGCAGGCAAUAGGAAGUACCCUGCUGAAUGUUGUCAUUGUCUUUUCCGGGCCACAGAACUAGACACAACAGAAGAAUAAAGUGACAGUGUUACCAGUGACAGAAUUGCAGCUGGUAAGCUUGUACAGCAUUCUAACGGUGGGCCUAAACUGAACACGUUCUUUCCUCUGGCUACUGCUCAGAAGUUCUGACAUCUGAGACCACCGUGGGGAGCUUGGUGAGAAGUCUACCUGCCCGUUUGCUUGGCCCUUUGCCAUUAUCGAGUUAGGGGCAUGGCAGGCCCUUCUCUCAUCCCAGUAGCACUCUGUGUUCCAGAAAUGUCAAGCACCUCCUCUGCAUCUGGCACUGUCCCCAUUUUCUCUGGUAGUGAAUCCUUUCCCUGGUUUUAUAGCCUUAGGUCAUUUCAGUGGGAGUUUAUGAGGCAGAAGAAUUCAACAAAUUCAUCUUGCCAUCUCUAACCUGAGUUCAAACAAACAUGGUAACUGGUGGUCAAGAGAGGUAGCUCCUAAACCCUUGUGUUACUUCCCAUGAUUCCAGUUACCUGAAAAGAUAAAGGAGAACGUUCCAGAAAUAACUAACUAAUGCUUUUCUCAUAUCCUACUAUAUUAUUAGUUACUACUAUUGCUAAUCUCAGCAAGCUUAACUUUAAAUCAAACCUCAUCAUGGAUACUCAUACAUAGGGGAAAACAUAGGAGAUAGAAAGUUUAGUGCUAGCCACUGUUUCAGGCCUUCAUGGGUGUCUUGGGAAAAGUCCUCUAGGGAAUAGGAACUAUUGUAGACAGCUGUGCUGCCUUGGGGACAUUGAGAAGCUGGAGUUUGUCUGGGGUCAGAUCUGUCAAUAAAGAAUGUGCUGAAGAAGGGUUCCAAACCCCUG